AAAUGAUUAAUUCAGAAAGUCAGAAGACAAAACUAUGGAUUUUUAGCAAUCAAAGAACAAAUUAAGGUGUCUGACUUGGGAUAUCAGUGUUUAUUUUUGAGGAAUUUUUCUUUCCUUUUUUGUGUUUGUUUUUUAACUAUUGAUUAUUGGAAUUCAGAAGAGGAGCCAGAAAUAUAUUGAUUUGGUUUCACUUCAGAACAGCCAUUCCUGAGACAUUCUCUUCCAAGAACACAGCCAUGUGGCCACCACAGAUGCUCAUCCUCACGAUGCUUUUAGCACCUGUAGUUCAUGGUGGCAAGCACAAUGAGAGACAUCCAGCCCUUGCUGCUCCACUGCGACAUGCUGAGCGCAGCCCAGGAGGCGCUCUCCCUCCCAGACAUCUUCUCCAGCAGCCAGCUGCAGAGCGCUCUACUGCGCAUCGAGGACAAGGGCCACGUGGAGCUGCCAGAGGAGUUCGUGGACCAGGCGCCCCAGGAGCACAGAUUGCAGCCCAAGCUUUCAGCCGCGCCCCAAUUCCCAUGGCAGUGGUCCGCAGAGAGCUCUCCUGUGAGAGCUACCCCAUUGAGCUUCGCUGUCCUGGUACGGAUGUCAUCAUGAUCGAGAGCGCCAACUACGGGAGGACAGAUGACAAGAUCUGUGACUCGGACCCUGCUCAAAUGGAGAAUAUUCGGUGUUAUCUACCAGAUGCCUAUAAGAUUAUGUCUCAAAGAUGCAAUAACAGAACCCAGUGUGCAGUGGUGGCAGGUCCUGAUGUAUUUCCAGACCCAUGUCCGGGAACAUAUAAAUACCUUGAAGUGCAGUAUGAAUGUGUCCCUUACAAAGUGGAACAAAAAGUUUUUCUUUGUCCCGGACUGCUAAAAGGAGUGUACCAGAGUGAACACUUAUUUGAAUCUGACCACCAAUCUGGGGCAUGGUGCAAAGACCCUCUACAGGCUUCUGACAAGAUUUACUAUAUGCCCUGGACUCCCUACAGAACUGACACCCUGACAGAGUAUUCGUCCAAAGAUGACUUCAUUGCUGGAAGGCCAACAACUACCUAUAAGCUCCCUCACAGAGUUGAUGGCACUGGAUUUGUAGUAUAUGAUGGUGCCCUGUUCUUCAACAAGGAGCGUACAAGAAAUAUAGUAAAGUUUGAUUUGAGGACUAGGAUAAAAAGUGGAGAGGCCAUCAUAGCAAAUGCCAACUACCAUGACACCUCCCCAUACCGAUGGGGCGGCAAGUCUGACAUAGACUUGGCAGUGGAUGAAAAUGGAUUAUGGGUAAUCUAUGCAACAGAACAGAACAAUGGCAAAAUUGUCAUUAGCCAGUUGAACCCUUACACCCUACGGAUUGAGGGGACAUGGGACACUGCAUAUGAUAAAAGGUCAGCUUCCAACGCAUUUAUGAUUUGUGGGAUUCUGUAUGUGGUCAAAUCUGUAUAUGAAGAUGAUGACAACGAGGCCACCGGAAAUAAGAUUGACUACAUUUACAACACCGACCAAAGCAAGGAUAGUCUGGUGGAUGUACCCUUCCCCAACUCAUACCAGUACAUAGCAGCUGUGGAUUACAACCCCAGGGACAAUCUGCUUUAUGUGUGGAAUAACUACCAUGUUGUGAAAUACUCUUUGGACUUCGGGCCUCUGGAUAGUAGAUCAGGGCCAGUGCACCAUGGACAGGUUUCCUACAUCUCUCCACCAAUUCACCUUGACUCUGACCUAGAAAGACCCCCUGUCAGAGGGAUUUCUACCACAGGACCCCUGGGUAUGGGCAGCACGACCACCAGCACCACCCUCCGGACCACAACCUGGAACAUAGGGAGGAGUACCACCCCAUCCUUGCCGGGCAGAAGAAACCGCAGCACCAGCACGCCGUCUCCAGCGGUAGAGGUGCUGGAUGACAUCACCACACACCUGCCAUCUGCAGCCUCUCAAAUCCCAGCUAUGGAAGAGAGCUGUGAGGCUGUCGAAGCACGAGAAAUCAUGUGGUUUAAGACCCGACAGGGGCAAGUAGCAAAGCAGCCAUGCCCAGCAGGAACCAUAGGUGUAUCAACUUACCUAUGUCUUGCUCCUGAUGGAAUAUGGGAUCCUCAAGGACCAGAUCUCAGCAACUGUUCUUCUCCUUGGGUCAACCACAUAACACAGAAGUUGAAAUCUGGAGAAACAGCUGCCAAUAUUGCCAGAGAGCUAGCGGAACAGACGAGAAAUCAUUUGAACGCUGGGGACAUCACCUACUCAGUUCGUGCCAUGGACCAGCUGGUUGGCCUUUUGGAUGUCCAGCUCAGGAAUUUGACACCAGGGGGAAAAGACAGCGCUGCCCGAAGCUUGAAUAAGCUUCAGAAAAGAGAGCGCUCUUGCAGAGCCUAUGUCCAGGCGAUGGUGGAGACAGUUAACAACCUCCUUCAGCCACAAGCUUUGAAUGCAUGGAGAGACCUGACUACGAGUGAUCAACUGCGUGCGGCCACCAUGUUGCUAGACACCGUGGAGGAGAGUGCUUUUGUGUUAGCCGAUAACCUUUUGAAGACAGACAUUGUCAGGGAGAAUACAGACAAUAUUCAGUUAGAAGUUGCAAGGCUGAGCACGGAAGGAAACCUAGAAGAUCUAAAAUUUCCAGAAAACACAGGCCAUGGAAGUACUAUUCAGCUUUCAGCAAACACAUUAAAGCAAAAUGGCCGGAAUGGGGAGAUUAGAGUGGCCUUUGUCCUGUAUAACAACCUGGGUCCUUAUUUGUCUACGGAGAAUGCCAGUAUGAAGUUGGGCACAGAAGCUAUGUCCACAAAUCACUCAGUUAUCGUCAAUUCUCCUGUUAUUACAGCAGCAAUAAAUAAGGAAUUCAGUAAUAAAGUGUAUUUGGCUGAUCCUGUUGUAUUUACUGUUAAACAUAUCAAGCAGUCAGAAGAAAAUUUCAACCCUAACUGUUCAUUUUGGAGCUAUUCCAAGCGCACCAUGACAGGUUAUUGGUCAACGCAAGGCUGUCGACUCCUGACAACGAACAAGACACAUACUACAUGCUCCUGUAACCACCUCACCAACUUUGCAGUAUUGAUGGCACAUGUGGAAGUUAAGCACAGCGAUGCAGUCCACGAUCUUCUUCUGGAUGUGAUCACAUGGGUUGGAAUCUUGUUGUCUCUUGUUUGUCUCCUGAUUUGCAUCUUCACGUUCUGCUUCUUCCGUGGGCUCCAGAGUGACCGUAACACCAUUCACAAGAACCUCUGCAUCAGCCUGUUUGUGGCAGAACUGCUCUUCCUGACUGGAAUCAACAGAACUGACCAACCAAUUGCCUGUGCAGUGUUCGCUGCUCUUUUGCAUUUCUUCUUCUUGGCGGCCUUCACCUGGAUGUUUCUAGAAGGGGUGCAGCUGUAUAUCAUGCUGGUGGAGGUCUUUGAGAGUGAGCAUUCCCGUAGGAAGUACUUUUAUCUGGUUGGCUAUGGGAUGCCCGCGCUAAUCGUGGCCGUUUCUGCUGCUGUCGACUACAGGAGCUAUGGAACAGACAAAGUAUGUUGGCUUCGCCUUGACACCUACUUCAUUUGGAGUUUUAUAGGACCAGCGACCUUGAUAAUUAUGCUGAAUGUAAUCUUCCUUGGAAUUGCUUUAUACAAAAUGUUUCACCAUACUGCUAUACUGAAACCUGAAUCAGGCUGUCUUGAUAAUAUCAACUAUGAGGAUAACAGACCCUUCAUCAGUCGUGGGUUAUAGGUGCAAUAGCUCUGCUCUGCCUGUUAGGAUUGACCUGGGCCUUUGGACUCAUGUAUAUUAAUGAAAGCACAGUCAUCAUGGCCUAUCUCUUCACCAUUUUCAAUUCUCUACAGGGAAUGUUUAUAUUCAUUUUCCACUGUGUCCUACAGAAGAAGGUACGGAAAGAGUAUGGGAAAUGCCUACGCACGCAUUGCUGUAGUGGGAAAAGCACGGAGAGUUCGAUUGGCUCAGGGAAAACAUCUGGUUCUCGAACUCCAGGACGGUAUUCCACAGGCUCACAGAGCCGGAUUCGGAGAAUGUGGAAUGACACCGUCCGAAAGCAGUCAGAGUCAUCCUUCAUUACUGGAGACAUAAACAGCUCAGCGUCGCUCAACAGAG